CGCUUUGGCUGCUGUAACGGACGUUUCACGUCGCCGCACCGCAUAUAGUCGGCAUAAUUUCGUGCGUUCCACUAAGUCUGCAGCGUAUUAGAGGCUUUGUAUUGUUGUCCCCACUUGAUGUUGUCGUUCUAGCAACCCGUCUGACAUUGCAACUGUCCAAAAAUGGAAGCCUAUCUUAUAACCGCCAGUCAGACCAGUCAGUCUCGUUUGAAAUGUCACAAUGAAGACGCGGAUCUCAAGCCAAAUCGCUCUUCACCAUCAGGAUUUUUGCCGUUUCAGGCGAUCUGGACGACAGAGAGAUAGAACGCCAGAUGAAACCGUUGGCGGCUGUAUGCUUUGUGCAAACGGUUGAGCGUAUAUGACGCACCGGCCUCCCUCAAGAGAGACGCAAGCAUCGUGUUCAAUGCGGUGGAGACUCUUGUUUUCAUGACAAGGUUUACAAGUGGUUUUGUGGAAGGAAGACAAGUUGGACCGGAAACGAGGACCUAGGUGCGCUCUCUUUUGUUGUUAUUCACCGUUCGAUCAUUACCAAUUUUGUGCCCCCAUGAAUUCAACCAUCAGGUGUGUUGAUGAUAAAUGGAUAUGCUUCGAAAGGUACGUACUCGUGAGUGGUUUUGUGUGGAUUCUUGCGGGUACUCAUGUAC